rnacentral:rRNA from 1 species
AACGAACGCUGGCGGCAGCCUUAACACAUGCAAGUCGAACGGGCGUAGCAAUACGUCAGUGGCAGACGGGUGAGUAACACGUGGGAAUAUCCCUCUCAGUUCGGAAUAACUCAGGGAAACUUGAGCUAAUACCGGAUACGUCCUUCGGGAGAAAGAUUUAUCGCUGAGAGAUUAGCCCGCGUCUGAUUAGCUAGUUGGUGAGGUAAUGGCUCACCAAGGCGACGAUCAGUAGCUGGUCUGAGAGGAUGAUCAGCCACACUGGGACUGAGACACGGCCCAGACUCCGACGGGAGGCAGCAGUGGGGAAUAUUGGACAAUGGGGGCAACCCUGAUCCAGCCAUGCCGCGUGAGUGAUGAAGGCCUUAGGGUUGUAAAGCUCUUUUGCCAGGGAAGAUAAUGACUGUACCUGGAGAAUAAGCCCCGGCUAACUUCGUGCCAGCCGCCGCAGUAA